GCUAGGAUUUAUCCUGGGGUCACAAUGGGCUUGAUUUGCAAACUUUAUUUAGCGAGGAACAAUUGGAGGGCAAGUCUGGUGCCAGCAGCCGCGGUAAUUCCAUCUCCAAUAGUGUAUAUUAAUGUUCCUGCAGUUAUUCGAUGCUCGUAGUUGGAUUUCUGGGGGCUGAGAUUGGAAGGUGGCCAAGGUCACCGCCGAACUCUUCCUUCAUCCACCUGUUAACGUUGUCCGGGAUUUAUUUCUCGGCUUCAGGCUCAGGUAUUUUACCCUUUCUAUAUAUUCAUUUAUUUAUCUUCUUUUUGAGUAAAUUAUAGUGUUUCAGGCAGGCGUGCGCCGGAAUACUUUAGCAUGGAAUAAUCGAAUUGGACCGUGUAUUCUUAUAGAAUUCUUCCUUAUUUGUUGGUUUCAAGGACACGGAAAUGGUUAAUAGGGAUAGUGUUUUCAGGGGAGGCAUUAGUAUUUAAUUUCCAGAGGUGAAAUUCUUUGAAAUAUUAAAGACUAACUUAUGCGAAAGCAUUUAUUUUGCCAAUAAUGUUUUCAUUAAUCAUUGAACGAAAGUUAGGGGAUCAAAGACGAUCAGAUACCGUCCUAGUCUUAACCAUAAACGUUGCCGACUAGGGAUCGGAGGGCGUGCACAUUCCGCCUUCGGCACCUUACGAGAAAUCAAAGUCUUUUGGGUUCUGGGGGUAGUAUGGUCGCAAGGCUGAAACUUAAAGGAAUUGACGGAAGGGCACCACCAGGAGUGGAGCUUGCGGCUCAAUUUGACUCAACACGGGAAAUCUUACCAGGUCCAGACAUAGCGAGGAUUGACAGAUUGAUAGCUCUUUCUUGAUUCUAUGGGUAUUUAUUUUAAUUUUGGUGGUGCAUGGCCGUUCUUAGUUGGUGGAGUGAUUUGUCUGGUUAAUUCCGUUAAACGAACGAGACCUCAGCCUGCUAAAUAGUUACCUGUCUUUCUUUUACGAGACUUGAUAACUUCUUAGAGGGACGUUGUGUGCAACCACAAGGAAGUUGAGGCAAUAACAGGUCUGUGAUGCCCUUAGAUGUCCUGGGCCGCACGCGUGCUACACUGAUACGUACAACAAGGUAUAUGCAUUUAUGCAUCGAUGCUGCUCCGAAAUAGACACAGCUAAAUCUUCUAAAAUACGUAUCGUGCUGCGGAUAGAUCGUUGAAAUUAUGGAUCUUGAAGGUGGAAUUCCUAGUAAGCGCGGGUCAUCAACCCGCGUUGAUUACGUCCCUGCCCUUUGUACACACCGCCCGUCGCUCCUACCAAUUUCGAGUGGCUCGGUGAACCUCUUUGGACUGUCGAGCAAUCGCGAAAUUAGAGUGAACCUGGUCAC
rnacentral:rRNA from 1 species